UUUUCCAUUCUUUCUGUUGCUUAUCCUUUCAUUAGUUUCAUGACUUACGGUAUGGUGAGUUUUUCAAAUUUAACAAAGACAUGGCAUUUGUUUAUUUAUUUAUAGUUAUGGUACAACUCAGUUUAUGCGGAAAUGUGAUUUGGUUUUGAUAGUAAGUCCAAUUUGGGAAGUAGACUGUAGAAGUAGACGUCAAAAGGAUUCUCUAAUAUGCAAUUCAGGGACUUUUUUUAACUACUUUGCGCAAAGUGAUGGAUGGAUGCGGAUUCCAUGACUGUUCAACUAAGUUUAAUUUCUCUCUCUUUCUUCAUUUUUCUUUCUUCAGCCUUUUUCCUCAUUUUAUUUUACUUUCACAUUAAAAAUAUACAUCAUCCCACAUGCACCAUACCCUUAAUUCUACUUUUUCUUGGCUAACACUUGAAAUGAAUGUGUGUGUGUGAAAGAGAGACAGAGAGAGGGAGGGAGAUGGAGAGAGAGAGUAAUUAAAUGUUUUUUUCAAUCAUUUACAUCCUAUUUUGAUUGUAUUGACCUUUUGUAACAGACAAUUUUGAGAGAAACAAUUAUGCUUUUGAAACAUCUAGAUGUUCAUUGAAACCCUCCUUAAACUUGAGCAACGAUGUAGUACGAGCCCAUUGGUCAGGCUAUAGUGAACUGAAGCUUGUCCAUUUUGACAAGCCAACUUCAUCUUAAGUCUACUUUUUAUGUGAGAAAACAUGAUUACUUUACUCAAGGAGGAUUGAGCUUAAAGAAUAGAGGAACGCGGUUUUAAGGAUAAAGGACUUGCGACAAAUCAAGCGAUUCUCCAAUUAAUUUAAAAUGGUUAUAUGAGAACUUACAAAGGAAAGGUACUUGAGCCACCAACAAUGGAACACAGAUUGAAAUUCAAUAUGUUACCAUCAUCACUGUGAAAAUUUCUGAUAGCAUGGAUCCUGUCACGUUGAGUGUUGAUAUAUGUCUGCCCCUUGAAUAUGGAGGGCCUCUGUCAGGCAAAAUAUAUACUUGACUCCCAGCAAGUAUUUUCCAUUCUUUCUGUUGAUUAUCAGUUCCUUAUUUUCAUGGCUUCUUUAUGAUAUUCUAUCAGCUAUGGUAUGGUGAAUUUUUGAAUUAAAGACAUACAAGUAUUACCGGAGAUAAAGCAUGAGGCAAUCGACAAUCUAUUUUAAAAUGAUAUUGCGAGGCUAAGAGCUAAAGACACCUAGAGCAAUUUUAUAUAAAUUAUGGUUGUUCUACAGUUAUGAGUCAUUUAGUAAUACCCUGGAAAAAAAGUCAAUUUAGUAAUAAAUAUCUUAUAUGCACUUCCCUUUUUCUAUAAAUCUAUUUCCCUAGUAUGUGAGGUGAAGUCCCAAUAAUAUAAGACUUUUCUGCCAAUGGCUUGUAUAGUUUGUGUUAGAUAUACUUUAGGAUAAAGUGCACUAAACUCCCCUAAACUUUCUUCUCUUUCUCAAUAAAUUCCCCUGAACUAUUCGGAAGACAUUUAACCCCCUAAACUAUUUUAUUUGUUGCAAAUGUUAGGUCUGCCGUUAGAAAUUUGACAGAAAUGAAGGCAUGCAUAUCACGUGAGGGGUCCAAAAUUUUAAAAAGACAAAAUUGACCCUACAACAGUUAAGGAAUAAAAUAUAUAUAUAUAUAUAUAUAUAUAUAUAUAUAUAUAUAUAUAUAUAUAUAAUGCUAUUUUUGAUGACUAGUACUGUUCAUCGACUUCAAAACCGACUACAUGGAAUCUGACAUGGCUGGACGGGUAAUCCCUCCAUCUCUUCCUCUUCAUUCCAUCUCUACUUUCUCUCUCAUCCAUCUUUGCCCAUGGCAGCAGCGGUGUGGAGGAGCUAUUGUAGUCAUGCCGGUCUUUAAGAAACUUCAAUAUUAGCAAAGGAGUCGGUGGUGUCGGAGUUGAAGGACAUGUCGCUAUGGAGGUUUAAGGAUUGGCCCGAGUACUUUGAGGGUCUCAAUGCUAACACAUAUUUGCAGCCAGUGAACACUGAUCCACCAAAGCUGGAGUCGGUAUCUGAGUGCAGUCAACCUUCUAGAAAAAGAGUUGGCAGCUCAGCCUUUUUUGGAAAAUGAACCGAUGAAAAUGCUGAAUUGGUGGAUGGUUUUUAACAGCGGCUAGGUCUUGAAAAAUAUUCUACUACAUUCAAAGAUGAGGAAAUUGAUAUGGCCAUUCUUGGACACAUGGGUGAUGAGGAUCUCAAGUCUAUAGGAUUACCAAAGGGUCCAAGAAUGAAGAUACUUUUGGCAUUGGAGUCUGAAGUUUGACAUUCAGGAGUUGACUAGGAUCUUUUGCUUGUUUGCAUGGUCCUCAAUGUUUUGGACUAGCAUCUGAUAACUCAACAGGCGUGAGUUUGCUUGAACUUUGUUCGACUGUUGCUGAAGCCUGGAUGCGCGUUAGUGAGAUCAUUUAACGAUAGCGAAGCUUAAUUGGUGGGAUAACAAGAGAGUCAAAAAUUAUCUGCACGAUUUCGAAUCUUUGAACUAAAAUAUAAGAAUAAAUAUAUAUAAUUGUCUUAUUACAAAUUUGUUUUAUGAAUCAACAAGUUUUUCAAUAAUUAUGUAAACUACCAUUAUUACUAAAAGUUAUUAGACAACUCCUAAUAUAUAUACUUCAACUAAACAUUGUUUCUAAAAUUUUCUUAAAAGUCCUUUAGAAUGGAAGCGUGUUCACAGAGCUGUGUUCAAAUCUGGUUACAUCAGCCUUCCCUAUCCAUCGUCUUUUCAAGUAGUUUGAUGCGUUAUCUUUCGUGAUUAACGAUUUUGUAAUUCAAAACUGACAUUUUUUAGAAGGAAUGAAGUGUUAUAGGUAAUAGUAUUUUGUACCUUGAUGCUGAAGUGCAAAAAACAAUGGGGAUCUCAGGAAAAAUCUCAUGGAGCAUUUGUGGAAUAAAUUUAGUAAUGAAAAAGUUUAAUGAUUAUAACGAGUAAAACGUAUUUUUCACGAGGAGAUGGUAUCUCCACAAUUAUCCUCUAACCCUCCAUCCUAAAAUGAAAUUACAAGAGAAUCCCACAUCACCCUAAGUUUAGUUAUUAUAUUUUUAAUAUCAUAAUUGCCCUCCAUAUAAAUGCAUGACUCAAUCAAAUUCUUUUUUUCCUUUUUGGUGUUUAGUGCUAUUGUCUUCCAUUUGCUAAUGUUGUUUAAUGGCUUUCAUUUUGGUAGAGAGAGAUUUGACAACCAGAAUCCAACUCUGAUAAUGUCCUUUUAUAGUUUCAUUUGGAUAGAGGAAGGAAAUGGAGCACCCAAUAUCAGUUCUUUUUUUUCUUAUUGUUUGUUUGUGAUAAAUAAAAUACUAUUUUUAAAUUUUUUUGUUUCU